rfam:Dipodomys ordii contig_27910, whole genome shotgun sequence.
GGGAAUGUGGCUUAGUGGUAGAGUACUUGCCUUACAUGUAUGAAGCCCUGGGUUUGAUUCCUCAGUACCA